rnacentral:rRNA from 1 species
CCCUUAGAUGUUCUGGACAGCACGCGCGCUACAAUGGUCUUCGCAAACGGAUGCAUUCUCGAAGGAGGAUGCCAAUCUUGGAAUCUAUGCCUUGGUCGGGACAGUUGCUUGCAAUUUUUCGACUCGAACCAGGAAUUCCUUGUAAUCGUGAUUCAUCACAUCACGAUGAAUACGUCCCUGCCCUUUGUACACACCGCCCGUCGCUCCUACCGAUCGAAGAGUUAGGUGAAUUGUUUUGAUCGAUAAGAUUUGACUAUGGUCAACUCUCGUUGUGAAAUUCUGUGAAUCUGACUGUUUAGAGGAAGGAAAAGUCGUAACA